CGGGGUAAUGAGCCCACCAAGGCGAAGAUCAUGGUAGCCGGCCUGAGAGGGCACACGGCCACACAUGGCACUGAAACACGGGAUCCAGACUCCUACGGGAGGCAGCAGUGGGGAAUCUAUGCACAAUGGAGGAAAUACUCUGAUGCAGCGACGCCGCGUGAGCGAUGAAGCCCAUUCGGGGUGUAAAAUGCUCAGUUCGACGGGAACGAUAAUGACGGUACCCGAAGAAAGAAGCUGCGGAUCUAAGCUACGUGCCAGCAGCCGCGGUAAUACGUAGGCAGCAAGACGUUGUUCAUGGGAAUUACUGGGCGUAAAGAGUGUGUAGGCGGUGCUCUAAGUCUGAGUGUGAUGAAA
rnacentral:rRNA from 1 species